AGGUAUUAAACUUUAAAACAAAACUUUGCUUUUAGCAGAAACAAAACGUGUUUUUCAAGUGCUGUGAGAUGUGUGAAAAGGGUAGCAUUAAUUUAUCAUAGAAUAAGUCGUUUUACCGUGAAAUACUUCCAUUCACUUUAAAUUGUUACCUGAGAUAUAUACAAGCAAGCUCUGCUCAGGUUAAAGUAAAAACUGUUUUAUUGUUUUUCUUUCUUUUCAAUUGUUAAGUUGUGCAGCAUUUUGAGUAAGAUAUUACUAAUGCAGUAAUUCUCUAAUCCCUGCAAACCAUGGAACUUGUAUGGUAAGUAGAGUUCCACAGGAACGGUGCAGCCCUGGAGAAGUCUUGAAGGCGAGCAUCAGAGGUGGGAGUACGGACAGAGGAUAGACGUAAGUUUUAGGCAUAGCGUAAGGGCCUAGACGGGACAUACUUGUGUAUUGGGGGGAUAGGUAGGUUGGAGCAGCAUUAUGUAGGGACUUGUAAGCAAGCACUAGAAUCUUAAAUUGAGCCCUAUAUCUAACUGGAAGCCAAUACAGGGACUGACAGAGGGGGAGGCGUGGGAGGACAGGAAGAUGAGCCUCGCCGCCGCAUUCAUUAUAGACUGUAACGGGGCAAGUUGGUAACAUGUAAGACCCCUGAGAAGAGGAUUGCAGUAGUCGAGAGAGAGGGCAAUGGCAUCGACCAGCACCUUAGCUGCGUCCAGGCGUUGAAUUUACAAGUGUAACAUUAUAUUUUGGGAAUCACUGUCAGGACAUUAACCAGCAGGGUAUUGGCAGCUACUGAGUGACAAUCUGUGUGGUGCUAGUGCUGGG